GUUAUGUAAUGUCUGUGCCUGAUAAAGCCAGUAUCUGGAGGCCCUGUGGGACGUUUGUUUGUUGCUGGUUCUCAUUCAUGGUGCCUUUUUCCCUUGUGAGAUUUAUUAUUUCUAACUAUGUACUGGAUACCUUAUUUGAAAAACUGUUCAUAGAAAUAACUGAAGACUAAGAAGAUAGUUUCUAAAAAGGAUUCAUGCUUGCUUCUUCCAGGUACCUAGCAGGCACUAACACUCUGAAAUCACUAUAAUCGAAAUUCCAGGACUGAGAUCAUUUGAUGUUGAGCUACAUACAGUACUUGUGAGACCAGGUCAAUUUCUGAUUCAACUGUUUCAAGCAUGCAGUCCUUUGGAAUCCCAACCUAAAAUACAGGAUUUACUGGAGCCUCUUCAGCCACUCUUCUGGCCCUCAGUAUCUCAAAAGUGUAUCAGCUAUGAUAUUGAAGUCAGGACAGUGGUUUACCUUUAAGAAAGAGGGAAGGAUACAGUUUUAUUUAUUGACCAGGGUGGUAGGCUUUUUCAAAGGCUGUUUUCAUCAAGGAUACUCUUCUAUUAAAAAAUCAUUAACGAUCCUUCACUGCCUAUAGGAGUAAAUCUGAAAUUAGUAAAGAGCACUAAAAUAUGAGCCAGGAGAUCUGGGAUCUAGUCUUACUUCUAAUGAGGGACCAUGAGAUGUCAAGGCAGCCACAUGGAAAAUGAGAGGCGCGAGAUGGAGAAUUAGUUUGCCUUCAGAUAACUACGUCUAGACCAUCCAUUCAGGCAUCGACAUAUUGCAACAUCACAGAAUAUGCU